CUACAGGCUUAACACAUGCAAGUCGAGGGGAAACGAUAUUGGAAGCUUGCUUCCGAUAGGCGUCGACCGGCGCACGGGUGAGUAACGCGUAUCCAACCUGCCCACCACUUGGGAAUAACCUUGCGAAAGUAAGACUAAUGCCCAAUGAUAUCUCUAGAAGACAUCUGAAAGAGAUUAAAGAUUUAUCGGUGAUGGAUGGGGAUGCGUCUGAUUAGCUUGUUGGCGGGGUAACGGCCCACCAAGGCAACGAUCAGUAGGGGUUCUGAGAGGAAGGUCCCCCACAUUGGAACUGAGACACGGUCCAAACUCCUACGGGAGGCAGCAGUGAGGAAUAUUGGUCAAUGGGCGAGAGCCUGAACCAGCCAAGUAGCGUGCAGGAAGACGGCCCUAUGGGUUGUAAACUGCUUUUAUAAGGGAAUAAAGUGAGUCUCGUGAGACUUUUUGCAUGUACCUUAUGAAUAAGGACCGGCUAAUUCCGUGCCAGCAGCCGCGGUAAUACGGAAGGUCCGGGCGUUAUCCGGAUUUAUUGGGUUUAAAGGGAGCGUAGGCCGGAGAUUAAGCGUGUUGUGAAAUGUAGACGCUCAACGUCUGCACUGCAGCGCGAACUGGUUUCCUUGAGUACGCACAAAGUGGGCGGAAUUCGUGGUGUAGCGGUGAAAUGCUUGGAUAUCACGAAGAACUCCGAUUGCGAAGGCAGCUCACUGGAGCGCAACUGACGCUGAAGCUCGAAAGUGCGGGUAUCGAACAGGAUUAGAUACCCUGGUAGUCCGCACGGUAAACGAUGGAUGCCCGCUGUUGGUCUGAAUAGGUCAGCGGUCAAGCGAAAGCAUUAAGCAUCCCACCUGGGGAGUACGCCGGCAACGGUGAAACUCAAAGGAAUUGACGGGGGCCCGCACAAGCGGAGGAACAUGUGGUUUAAUUCGAUGAUACGCGAGGAACCUUACCCGGGCUUGAAUUGCAGAGGAAGGAUUUGGAGACAAUGACGCCCUUCGGGGUCUCUGUGAAGGUGCUGCAUGGUUGUCGUCAGCUCGUGCCGUGAGGUGUCGGCUUAAGUGCCAUAACGAGCGCAACCCCUCUCCUUAGUUGCCAUCAGGUUAAGCUGGGCACUCUGGGGACACUGCCACCGUAAGGUGUGAGGAAGGUGGGGAUG
rnacentral:rRNA from 1 species